UACGUAGGGAGCAAGCGCUGUCCGGAAUCAUUGGGCGUAAAGCGCGCGUAGGUGGCCCCAUAAGUCCGCUGUGAAAGUCAAAGGCUCAACCUUUGAAAGCCGGUGGAUACUGUGGGACUAGAGUACGGAAGAGGCGAGUGGAAUUCCUGGUGUAGCGGUGGAAUGCGCAGAUAUCAGGAGGAACACCAAUAGCGAAGGCAGCUCGCUGGGACGUUACUGACACUGAGGCGCGAAAGCGUGGGGAGCGAACAGG
rnacentral:rRNA from 1 species